rnacentral:misc_RNA from 1 species
AUGAAAGCAAAUCCGUAUAUUCUGCUCAUUUCUUUCUCGCUUCUGGCCUUCCAAUCCAAUUGUGGAGCUACGCAAAAGUCGCAGCUCGGUCAGCCGCUUAUACAAUUGAGUCACGACAACACCGAUGAUGACUAUCCAGAAGUUAAGGACGAAAUUCACUUGGAAGACUUUUUUUGGACUGGCUCGGGGGACGGGCCACCGGAUUUCCUGAAGAAGGUGCACACGGGGAUUACCAAGGGCAAGGAAACAGUUUUUAAGACCGAAACGGUGGUGGCCACCAUCUAUGUGGAUGGAAAUAAUGAGAUAGACAUACCCAUCUGCCUGGACUGCAAGCCAGAUGAUGGCGGCGGCACCUGGGACAUGGGUGGCCCAGGAAUGCCUCCACUGAAUUAUUCCGCCACGGAUCGACGUUAUUGGCUGCUGACGGUCAUGUCGGGUUUCUAUACGGCAAAGGAUAAUCCCACGUUGGAGGAAAAGCUGGCACGUCUAUAUCGGUUAGCCUUUACCAGACAGCAAACCCGUCACCUUGGCAUUAAUGGAGCUCAGCAGAUCGAAGGCGUUAACCUACCGGCACCUCGAGAACGCCGGAAGUCUUUGACCCCAGCGACGAGAAUGGAAACCACGACGGGAUCGCCAGCGGAUGAUGUGGAAAUACUGGACAUGCAGGACGAGGACGAGGAGCACUACAUAAAGAGUGUGAGGCGACUGGGAGAGGACACCGAGUGGGCCAGCCACUCGCAGGAGGAGCAGGAGCAGUCCGAGGAGCAGCUCCCAAUGGGGGUGACACCCUCAACCAGCACGGAAUCGAUAGAUUAUGGAGCAUACGUUACUCUAAUCCCCUGGGAGCUCAUACAGCAGAAUGGAAAAUCGGAAAAGUUGCGGGAAAUGCACGAAACCUUGUUGACUAAGCAACCGCCGGUGCAACAACAACAGGAGCAGCAACGGGGGGAGGAACAACCCCAGACCCAGACCCAUACCCAAACCCAUCCCCAAAGCCUGCCCCAUUCCCAGCCCCAGCCACUUUAUAGGGACGAGCACGUCAGAGUUGUCAUACACAACCUAACGCAAAUUAGCGAGUCGGAUGUGCAAAAGUGGAGCACCAACACCAAUGGCUUCGGUACCAUGGGGGAGCACAACUACGUCAACCUCAAAUUCAAUGAUCGUCCCAUAGCCAACCAAACGGAGCUGAUUUACACGGUUUUGGUGAAUGGUCGACCUGUUUUGGCCACCACAGCAGCAAAGGACAUGGAACUGGUCAGCGAAUCUGAGGCGGUGAAGACUUUCGGUCAGGCCGUAUAUAUGAAAUCAGAACCGUACAUCAGGGAGCCCACGGCCACCGCCUUGGCUCCCGUGCCUCGAAGCGGACAGGCCGGGUUCUUCAAUUCGGUCAAGAACAAUGUGGCCCUGGUGGUCAUCAGUUCCUUGGCCAUCCUGCUGCUGAUGCUGCUCCUCGUGGCGGUUCUGCUCCUGGGACGAACACGAUCCCGGCAAAGAGAGCUUAGUGCAGUCAACAGAAACUCCUCCCGCAACGAGCUGCUAUCCGAUGGUCAAUCAAUGCGACCUACGACAAGUGAGAGGACCGAAGGAGAACCAAGUCCAGGACAUUCCCAGUCCCGGGAUGCUGGCGUACGAAACUUCUCCUACGAGAGAGAGCCACGCAUCAGUUUCCCAGCUCCGCCCCAGGAGACACGAUCCCGUCGAGAAUCCAUUUCCUCGUCGACGGACAACACCUCCGAUUCCUCGGUUUACUGCCCCAUCAAUCCGCCGAGCGCCGAUGUCCAAAGGAUCCUGGACGACAAGGCUGCCCGUUUGUUUGACGCCCAUAAGAGGCGCCAUCAGUACGAUCGAGCCGAAGGUCACGAGGAAACCGUUUACACAUCCGUCGUGUCGGAGAAAAAGAGCGACAAAAUGCGACACAAGUCAAGGAGGCGCUAUCUGAACGAGAACCGCGUGGGCUCCUUGGAGACGAGUCCGGUCCAGGGUUCCCUGGCGGGUCAUUCCUCCGCUGAGGAAUCCCCGGAAGUUAUGCGCCGGAGCUACGAGAACUUCCAACGCAGCGAGGCCUUCAAUCCGCACAACAACUACCACCGGAACAAGUUGCUGACCCAAAAAACCGGCAGAGGAGCGUCCGCCGAGGCCAUCAACAGCGAGAUGAUCCGGAAUCUGCAGCCAUCUGACAAGUCGGAUACGGCCAGUGUGGGAUCCUUCCUGUCGAUGGCCUCGGUCCGGGCCUUUCCCAAGAGCACUCUGCCGGAGCCCCUGAACCGCGUGCUGGAUCCCGUCUUCGUCACCUACUACGACAACGUGAACGCAGUGGCGCCUCACAACUCCACAAGAUCCCUGCGAUCCCACAAGUCGCUGGGCAGCAAGGACAACACCAUAGCCACCAUCGCCAGUUUCCCCAGUCCCAAGGCACCGCCAUCGGUGAGGAAUGUCCGCUCCGCCUCGCACAGCGACAAUCCGGAUCCGGGAGUAGUGGGUCCGGUGGUCUGGGAGCGGCACAAGAAGAAACAGACGCAGGGUGAGCCGGGCGGAGAAAACCCAAAGAGUAACAAUAGCGAUGACGAUGAUGACGAUGGCGACGUUCGAUUUGGGGCCAAGUCGCGUUACUAGGACAACCCGUAGUCGUUGAUUUAGUUAUUGUUAUUGCUUGCACCAGUCCUGAUAACCCGAUAACCAAAACGUAGCUACUAACAACGUAGAGACCCACCUCUCCAGUCCUCUCCAUAUCAGUCGACCUGAGGCCCAGACCUAUGCCGACUACAACCCCAGUCCGCUGCACAAUCCGUC